rnacentral:rRNA from 1 species
AUUGAACGCUGGCGGCAGGCCUAACACAUGCAAGUCGAACGAGUGGCGGACGGGUGAGUAAUGUCUGGGAAACUGCCCGAUGGAGGGGGAUAACUACUGGAAACGGUAGCUAAUACCGCAUACCAUCGGAUGUGCCCAGAUGGGAUUGGCUGUUGGGUGGGGAAACGGCUCACCUGGGCGACGGUCCCUAGCUGGUCUGAGAGGAUGACCAGCCACACGGGAACUGAGACACGGUCCAGCCUCCUACGGGAGGCAGAAGUGGGGAAUAUUGCCAAAUGGGCGCAAGCCUGAGGCAGCCAUGCCGCGUGUAGGAAGAAGGCCUUCGGGUUGUAAAGCCCUUUUGUUGGGAAAGCGGUACCCAAAGAAUAAGCACCGGCUAACUUCGUGCCAGCAGCCGCGGUAAUAC